UGACUAUAACUUUUGUUUUCUUGCAGAAAUGCAAGACCAAAGCUGACAUUUGCUCUUUUCAUGGAAAUUUUUGUGCUUUCUCUGUUAGGGGUUAGUGUGACUCUUAAUAUGUACUUUGCAAGCCU